AGUGGAUGGGUGAAAGUGAAAAGCUUGUUUCGAACUUAUUCCAAAUGGCUCGCGAAAGUGCCCCAUCCAUUAUAUUCGUCGAUGAAAUUGAUUCCUUGUGUGGGCAGCGAGGAGAAGGAAAUGAAAGUGAAGCUUCUAGACGUAUUAAAACAGAACUGCUUGUGCAGAUGCAGGUACUUGUUACACUGGGAAAGUAGUGAGUGCUCAAUUAACCCCUUCCGGCAACCAGUGCGUAUUAAAACUGAACUGCUUGUGCAGAUGCAGGUACUUAUUACACUGGGAAAGUAGUGAGCGCUCAAUUAACCCCUUCCGGUGACCAGUACAAAACCAGAAAGGAAGGUCUGUUGGUUAAACAAAUAUCUUUGGCUUAUCUAGUUUGUAAUUUCA
rnacentral:lncRNA from 1 species